AACCCUGAGAUGAGUGAUACAAUGGGGUGGUAUAAAGUUUACUGAAUGAGCACUUCGUUUUCACGGCUAAGAAGAUCUGCCAGGGUCCUGGUGAUGGAGUGAGCUGCUCAGAAGUGCUGGCUUCUGGAGAAGUGCAACGCACUAGUAGGUUUUUUUCUUCAAGAUUACAUUAAAACUAUAAUAUCUAAUAUUUAAAAGGAGAAGCCUACAUUUUAGUGAAUUCAGAAUUAUUGACCCCCCGGGUCACCUCAUUCAAACUGCCAUAAGAGCCUUCAGGAGUCUGGCUUUAUUGACAAACAGACAAAUGAAAACAGCUCUGCUGUAAACUACUUACUGGUUUUCCAGAGAAAGUUCCAAAUGAUCUCGGAUAAUGUCACUCCUCUCCUCAAAAUCCUUGGGUGGAGCAGUUCUCGACCUUGGCCAAGAUUAGAUUCACCUGUGAAGCCUUCGAAAGUCCUGCUGCUUAGGCCAUAUUUCAGAACAAUUAAGUUAGAAUCUCUGGGGGUAGGACUCAGGCCUUAGUGUUUUUAUAGCUCCCCAGAUGAUUCCAAUGGUAGCCAAGGUUGAAAACCACUACUGUAAUAGUUUUCCAUUCCCAGGUGACUCGAAUCCAAGCUCCUUAGCUUGGCAUUUACAUCUUGCCACAGCUUGCUCUCAUCUAUGGUUUCAGCCUCAUUUCCUACACUUGCAGAAAGACUAACUAGUCUUUCUUUUCGCGCAUUGCUCACCUGCUGAUGAGGUAGAUCCCCGUGUUUACUUCCACUUAUCUCACCUCUGCUUAUUCAAAUUACAUUCAUCUUUCAAUACCCAGAUCAACUGGUAGUACUUUCAAGGAGCUUUUCUGAUCCCCCAGUGUGGUGGUUUUCAACAUGCCUGCAAAUUCUUUCCUACUACUCCCAAAAAAGGUGGAGUCUAAUUCUCUUCCCUUUAAACAUGGGCUAGCCUUAGUGAAUUGAUGCUAAAGAAUAGAAUGUGGUAGAUGUUACUAUAAAGUCAUACUAUAAAGAAAGGCUGCAUGAAGUCAUACAGCUUUCGCUAGGCACUCUCUCCAGACACACGCCAAGAUGGAGGAAACAGGUGAAGAGCACACAAAAAGACAGGGUGAGAUGCCUGAGGAGCCUCAGCGAUUCCAGCCCACCAGCCCUUUGAACCUAGUCACCCUCAACUGCCAGACAUGCAAACAAACAAGACUUCAGAUGACUCCAGACCUCAGACUUUGAGUCAUCCAGCUGAGGCCCCAGACAUCACGAACCAGAGACAAACUGUACCUGCUGUACCCUGUCGUCAUUCCUGAGCCACAGAAUGGAACUGAUGACAUUUGCAGUUCUGUGGCUAAGGGGAAUGUUUCUGACUGUGUCUGGUUGCAUCUUCUUCUUGUCUUGGGCUGGAUGUGAUGUGUCCCUCUGCACGUAGCAUCUAUGUCCUGCUUUGCCUCUGCUGGAAUGUUUGUUCUUGGUUGUCAUCAUCCCCCACUUUUCAUUGUCACAUGCUUGCCUGCAUCAGCCCUUUGUUCUCUUUUCUAUUUUGCCACCUCAACUCAAUCAUGAAUUUAGAUUACCAAUCUUAAUAGGAUUGUGUGUGCAUUAAAUGUAAAUAAAUAUUGUGUAAACAAUUGGUGUAAAAGAAAUACACAAACUUUGCUGCAUGGACAGUGUGGUAUUGAGGCUAGUUUCUCCCAGUCCUUUUUGCUUUCCUCCUGUGCCAUGCAUCUUCAGCUCUGUCCUGAGUGGGAGCAGA
rnacentral:lncRNA from 10 species